UUAGAGGAAGUAAAAGUCGUAACAAGGUUUCCGUAGGUGAACCUGCGGAAGGAUCAUUAAUGAAAUGCACCCUCUGGGGGUUGUGCUGGCGCCUUGGCGCAAGUGCACGCCCCCUCGGGCGUCCAGUCCCAUUCACACCUGUGCACGAACCCGUCGGACGGGGGUGGCGCCCUGUGCGCCCUCCGGUCUGGCCUCUUCACAUCAGCUUAUGACCGUACGUCGAAUGCAUACUGCGCACGCGCAACCGAAAUACAACUUUUAACAACGGAUCUCUUGGUUCUCGCAUCGAUGAAGAACGCAGCGAAAUGCGAUAAGUAAUGUGAAUUGCAGAAUUCAGUGAAUCAUCGAAUCUUUGAACGCACCUUGCGCUCCUUGGUAUUCCGAGGAGCAUGCCCGUUUGAGUGUCUUGAUAUCAUCAAACGCCCCUGCCUUUUUCUGGUGGGUCGGCGAUUUGGACUUGGACGUGCUGCCGGGCGCCCCGCGCUCGGCUCGUCUUGAAUGCAUUAGCUGGAAUUCCCCUCGGACCUUAUGGCGUGAUAAGAUCACCCGUCGAGCAGUCCCCGUGGGUUCCGCUUCCAAUCGUCCCUCUGCGGACAACACCGAAACCUGGUUUUCGACAUCUGACCUCAAAUCGGGUAGGACUACCCGCUGAACUUAAGCAUAUCAAUAA
rnacentral:rRNA from 1 species